rnacentral:rRNA from 1 species
GACGAACGCUGGCGGCGUGCUUAACACAUGCAAGUCGAACGGAAAGGCCCUGCUUGCCGGGUACUCGAGUGGCGAACGGGUGAGUAACACGUGGGUGAUCUGCCCUUCACUUCGGGAUAAGCCUGGGAAACUGGGUCUAAUACCGGAUAGGAGCCAUUUUUAGUGUGAUGGUUGGAAAGUUUUUUCGGUGUAGGAUGAGCUCGCGGCCUAUCAGCUUGUUGGUGGGGUAAUGGCCUACCAAGGCGGCGACGGGUAGCCGGCCUGAGAGGGUGGACGGCCACAGUGGGACUGAGAGACGGCCCAGACUCCUACGGGAGGCAGCAGUGGGGAAUAUUGCACAAGGGGCGCAAGCCUGAUGCAGCGACGCCGCGGGGGGGAUGACGGCCUUCGGGUUGUAAACGCCUUUCGCUAGGGACGAAGCUUUUUGUGACGGUACCUAGAUAAGAAGCACCGGCUAACUACGUG